UUUAGAGUGGCAGAAAUAAUAUGUGUUGAAUUUAAGCUUCAGAGAUGAAUUUAUUCCUUUAAAA
rnacentral:tRNA from 1 species